AUAUACACGAUUAUAUCAGCACAAGAACA
rnacentral:sRNA from 1 species